rnacentral:lncRNA from 1 species
ACCUUAAUUCCAAACAAAAAUAAAUACAACCCAAGUCCACCAUAAAAGCCCAAAAUCAAAACCUAAAUCAAUAAAAACCAAAUCCAACCCAAGUCCACCAUAAAAGCCCAAAACCAAAGCCUAAAUCUGUAAGAACCCAAAUCCAAUCAAGUCCACCAUAAAAACUCAAAACCAAAAUCUAAACCUAUAAGAACCCAAAUCCAAUCAAGUCCAUCAUAAAAACCCAAAACCAAAAUCUAAACCAAUAAGAACCCAAAUCGAAUUAAGUCCAUCAUAAAAGUCCAAAACCAAAACCUAAACCCAUAAAACCCAAAUCCAAUUAAGUCCACCAUAAAAGCCCAAAACCAAACCCUAAGCCAAUAAGAAUCCAAAUCCAAUCAAGUCCACUAUAAAAGCCCAAAACCAAAAUCUAAACCAAUAAAAACCCAAAUCCAAUCUAGUCCACUAUAAAAGCUCAAAACCUACAAAAUUUAAAUCCAAACCCAAAUCCAAACACAAACUCAAAUCUAAUCCGAGCCACGAAUAAAACGCAAACCCACUUCCAACUUCAACUCAUGAACCAAAGUUCAUGAACCAAAUCUCAUGAACCUUGAACCAAAUUCACGGUCCAAAUCUCAUAAACCAUACAACAAGUUCAUGACUCAAAUCGCAUGAACCAUGUACCAAGUUCAUGAAUCACAAACCAAACCUCAUGAACUAUACACCAAGUUCAUGAACCAUAAACCAAAUCCCAUAAACCAUACACCAAAUUAAUGAACCAUACCCAAGUUCAUAAACCAAAUCUCAUGAACCAUAAACUAUAUCUCAUAAACCAUACCCAAGUUCAUGAACCAAAUCUCAUGAACUAUACAUCAAACCCUAUAAGUCGUGAACCAAGUUCAUGAACCAUGAACUAAGUCCAUAAACCAAGUUCAUAUACCAAAUUCAUAAACCAUAAACCAAAUCCAUAAACUAUACCCAAGUUCACGAACCAUAAAUCAUACAAGUUCAUGAACCGUAAACCAAACACCAUAAACCAUACACCAAGUUCAUGAACAAAAUUCCAUCUCAUGAACCAUGCAUCAUAUCCUAUGAACCAUACCUAAGUUCAUGAACCAUACACCAAAUCUCAUGAACGUUAUACACCAAACCUCAUGAGCCAUGAACAAAAUUCAAUGAACCAUGAACCAAACCUCAUGAACCAUAUACCAAGUUCAUGAACCAUAAACCAAACCCCGUAAACCAUACACCAAGUUCAUGAACCCUACCCAAAUUCGUGAACCAAAUCUCAUGAACCAUACACUAUAUUUCAUAAACCAUAGCCAAGUUCAUGAACUAAAUCUCAUGAACCAUACAUCAAACCCUAUGAGUCAUGAACCAAGUUCAUGAACCAUGAACCAAGUCCAUAAACCAAGUUCAUACACGAAAUCCAUAAACCAUAAACCAUAAACCAUAAACCAUACCCAAGUUCACGAACCAUAAAUCAUACAAGUUCAUGAACAAUAAGCCAAACACCAUAAACCAUACACCAAGUUCGUGAACAAAAUUCCAUCUCAUGAACCAUGCAUCAUAUCCCAUGAACCAUACCUAAGUUCAUGAACCAUACACCAAAUCUUAUGAACCUUAUACACAAACCUCAUGAGCGAUGAACAAAAUCCCAUGAACCAUGAACCAAACCCCAUGAACCAUACCCAAGUUCAUACACCAUAAACCAAAUCUCAUGAACCAAAUUACAUACACCAAACCUCAUGAACCAUAAACCAGAACCAAAUUACAUACACCAAACCUCAUGAACCAUAAACCAAACCUCAUGAAUCAUGAACCAAACCCCAUGAACCAUACCCAAGUUCAUACACCAUAAACCAAAUCCCAUAUACCAAACCCCAUGAACCAUACCCAAGUUCAUACACCAUAAACCAAAUCUCAUGAACCAAACAUCAUGUUCAUGCCCAAAGUUCAUCAUGAACAUUUUCU